rnacentral:rRNA from 1 species
UGUGAUUGAUCCCGGCUCAGGACGAACGCUGGGGGCGUGCCUAAUACAUGCAAGUCGAGCGGACCUCAUAAGAGCUUGCUCUUAUGAGGUUAGCGGCGGACGGGUGAGUAACACGUGGGCAACCUGCCCUGUAGACUGGGAUAACUUCGGGAAACCGGAGCUAAUACCGGAUAAUCAAUGACACCACAUGGUGUCAUUGUAAAAGUUGGGUUUACCUAACACUACAGGAUGGGCCCGCGGCGCAUUAGCUAGUUGGUGAGGUAACGGCUCACCAAGGCGACGAUGCGUAGCCGACCUGAGAGGGUGAUCGGCCACACUGGGACUGAGACACGGCCCAGACUCCUACGGGAGGCAGCAGUAGGGAAUCUUCCGCAAUGGACGAAAGUCUGACGGAGCAACGCCGCGUGAGUGAUGAAGGCCUUCGGGUCGUAAAGCUCUGUUGUUAGGGAAGAACAAGUACCGUUCGAAUAGGGCGGUACCUUGACGGUACCUAACCAGAAGCACCG